GACGAACGCUGGCGGCGUGCUUAACACAUGCAAGUCGAACGGAAAGGCCCUGCUUGCCGGGUACUCGAGUGGCGAACGGGUGAGUAACACGUGGGUGAUCUGCCCUGCACUUCGGGAUAAGCCUGGGAAACUGGGUCUAAUACCGGAUAGGAGCCAUUUUUAGUGUGAUGGUUGGACAGUUUUGUCGGUGUAGGAUGAGCUCGCGGCCUAUCAGCUUGUUGGUGGGGUAAUGGCCUACCAAGGCGGCGACGGGUAGCCGGCCUGAGAGGGUGGACGGCCACAUUGGGACUGAGGGGCGGCCCAGGCACCUACGGGAGGCAGCAGGGGGGAAUAUUGCCCGAGGGGCGCAAGCCUGAUGCAGCGACGCCGCGUGGGGGAUGACGGCCUUGGGGUGGUAAACUCCUUUCGCUAGGGACGAAGCUUUUUGUGACGGUACCUAGAUAAGAAGCACCGGCUAACUACGUG
rnacentral:rRNA from 1 species